rnacentral:lncRNA from 1 species
CCCAGCACACCAGAAAGACCUCCCGGACAGACUGGAACCAACUGCCGGACACGCCGGAACCACAUCCCGGACAGACCGGAAUCACCUGGCAAACCCGCCUGAACCACCUGCCGAGCAUGACGGAACCACCUGCUCGACUCACCGGAACCACCUUCCGGACACGCCAAAAUCACUGGCCAGCUACGCCACAACCACUUGGCGGACUCUCCGGAAUCACCUGCCUGGCAUGCCGGAACCACCUCUCAGACGUGCCAGAACCACAUGACAGACACCCCGGAACCACCUCCCAGACAGACUGGAAAAACCUGCCAGACACGCAUGAACCACAAGCCGAGCACGCCGGGAACCACCUGCUUGACUCGCAGGAACCACCUGCCGAACAUGCCAAAAUCACCUUCCAGCUAGGCCAGAACCACUUGGCGGACACUCCGGAGAUAACCAGCCGGGCAUGCCGAAACCACCUCUCAACUGUGCCAGGACCACCUGUCAGACAAGCUGGAACGUCCGCCAGACAUGCCUGAACCACCUGCCGGACACGCCAAAAUCACCUGCCGACUACGCCAGAACCACUUGAGAGACACUAUGUAAUCAUCGGCCGGGCAUGCCGGAACCACCUCUCAGAGGUGCCAGAACCACGUGCCGGACACACCAGAACCACCUGCCGAGCACGCCAGAACCACAUGCUCGACUUGCCGGAACCAGCUGCCAGACAUGCCAAAAUCACCUGCCGGCUACGCCAGAACCACUUGGUGGACUCUCCAGAAUCACCUGACGGGCAUGCCGGAACCACCUCUCAGACGUGCCAGAAGCAGGUGCCGGACACGCCGGAACCACCUCCAGGACAGACCGGAACCACCUGCCAGACCUGACUGAACCACCUGCAGAGCACACCGGAACCACCUUCUCCACUCGCCAGAAUGACAGGUUCUUCAGAUGUGGUUCAAGGGAGUCUCCAUGUGGUUCCUGCAUGGCUCACAAAUGGUUCGGGUGUAAUUCUGGAGUGGAUCUCACACGACUCGUCUGGGUCACAUAUGGUUGAGGGUAUUCUUACACAUGGUUCAGGCGGAGAUCAGCCAUGGCUCACACGUGACACAGACGUGCCACGGAACUGGCUGCCUUGUGGCUGACACAUGAUACAGGCUUUGGUCACGCAUGGCUCACACAUGGUUCAGGUGUGGCUCAUGCAUGUCUGUGGUGUUAGGCAGGCGUGGCUCACAUGUGUUUUUGGCAUUGGUGGCACGUGAUUCAGGCAUGGCAGGCAAGUUGUGCCAGUGUGGCUGACACGUGCUUCAAGUGAGGCUGACCUGUGGUUCAAAUGUGUCUGGCACUUGGUUCAGGCCUGGCUGGCAUGUGACUGGGCGUGGCUGAGCCUUGACACAGGCGUGGUUCACACGUUGUUCAGGCGUGGCUGACACAUGAGUCAGGAGAGGUGGAAACGUGACACAGGUGUGCCUGACACGUCACGCAGGUGUUGUUCACACAUGGUUCAUGCAUGGCCUUCGUGUGGUUCACGAUGGCUGGUGCAUGGUUCACGCAUGGGUGGCAGGUGGUUCAGGCGUGGCUGAAAUGUGACUCCAGCAUGUGCGAAACAUGACUCUGGUGUGGCUGAAACAUGUGUCAGGCAUGGCUGACACGUGACUCAGGCAUUCAUCGCCCUGUAACCAUGUGUGACGGAAAUGUGAUCACACAGGUGUCACGUGCCGUACAUGGGUGGCGCCCACGUGACUACAGGUUGCUGAAACAUGUCUCCCACAUACUGAGUCAUGGCUGCCACGUGGCUCACGCAGGGCACAGCUGUGUUUCAUGUGUGGCACCCCUGUGGUUCAUGCUUAUUUCAAGCAUGGAACAUGUGUGUUUCACAGGUUCUUCAGAUGGGGUUCAAGGGUGAUUCCAAUGUGGUUCCUGCAUGGCUCACACAUGGUUCAGGUGUAAUACAGGCGUGUAUCUCACAGGAGUCGUGUGGGUCACAUAUGGAUGAGGACACUCUCACAUGUGCUUCAGGGAUAGUUCAACCAUGGCUCACAUGUAACGCAGACGUGCCAAAGAACUGGCUCCCAUGUGGCUGACACAUGAUACAGGCUUUGGUCACGCAUGGCUCACACAUGGUUCAGGUGUGGCUCAUGCAUGUCUGUGGUGUUGGUCAUGCAUGGCUCACAUGUGUUUUUGGCAUGGUUGGCACGUGGUUCAGGCAUGGCAGGCAAGUUGUGCCAGUUUGGCUACACGUGCUUCAAUUGAGUCUGACCUGUGCUUCAAGUGUGACUGGCACUUUGUUCAGGCCUGGCUGGCACGUGACUUGGCGCGGCUGAGCCUUGACACACGUGUGGUUCACACGUUGUUCCAGUGUGGCAGACACAUGACUCAGGUGAGGUGGAAAUGUGACACAGGCAUGCCUGACACGUCACGCAGGUGUGGUUCACACAUGGUUCAUGCAUGGCCUUCAUGUGGUUCAGGGUGUCUGGUGCAUGGUGUAUGCAUUGAUGGCAGGUGGUUCAGGUGUGGCUGAAAUGUGACUCCGGCAUGUGUGAAACAGGACUCCAGUGUGGCUGACACAUGACUGAGGGAUUCAUCACCAGUAUCCAUGUGUGACGGAAAUGUGAUCAUGCAGGAGUCACGUGCCGUACAUGGGUGGCAGCCACGUGACUAAAGGUUGCUGAAACGUGGCUCCUACAUAC